rnacentral:rRNA from 1 species
GGGAAUAUUGCACAAUGGGGGAAACCCUGAUGCAGCGACGCCGCGUGAAGGAAGAAGUAUUUCGGUAUGUAAACUUCUAUCAGCAGGGAAGAAAAUGACGGUACCUGACUAAGAAGCCCCGGCUAACUACGUGCCAGCAGCCGCGGUAAUACGUAGGGGGCAAGCGUUAUCCGGAUUUACUGGGUGUAAAGGGAGCGUAGGCGGUGCAGCAAGUCAGAAGUGAAAGCCCGGGGCUCAACUACGGGACUGCUUUUGAAACUGUUGAACUAGAUUGCAGGAGAGGUAAGUGGAAUUCCUAGUGUAGCGGUGAAAUGCGUAGAUAUUAGGAGGAACACCAGUGGCGAAGGCGGCUUACUGGACUGUAAAUGACGCUGAGGCUCGAAAGCGUGGGGAGCAAAC